GAGAGCAAAAGGUCGAGAGACGGCUGGCAUCUCCCCCGACAGGAAUGGGAUGGCUUUCGGGCUUACCUGUUAACACAUCCUUUAAAGCUAUCCACGUAUGUGGAUCUCCAACCAAAAU